ACGCUAGCUACAGGCUUAACACAUGCAAGUCGAGGGGAAACGGCAUUAAGUGCUUGCACUUUUUGGACGUCGACCGGCGCACGGGUGAGUAACGCGUAUCCAACCUUCCCAUGACUAAGGGAUAACCUGCCGAAAGGCAGACUAAUACCUUAUGGUCUUCACUGACGGCAUCAGAUGUGAAGUAAAGAUUUAUCGGUUAUGGAUGGGGAUGCGUCUGAUUAGUUAGUUGGCGGGGUAACGGCCCACCAAGGCAACGAUCAGUAGGGGUUCUGAGAGGAAGGUCCCCCACAUUGGAACUGAGACACGGUCCAAACUCCUACGGGAGGCAGCAGUGAGGAAUAUUGGUCAAUGGACGGAAGUCUGAACCAGCCAAGUAGCGUGCAGGAUGACGGCCCUAUGGGUUGUAAACUGCUUUUGUAUGGGGAUAAAGUCAAUCACGUGUGAUUGUUUGCAGGUACCAUAGAAAUAAGGACCGGCUAAUUCCGUGCCAGCAGCCGCGGUAAUACGGAAGGUUCGGGCGUUAUCCGGAUUUAUUGGGUUUAAAGGGAGCGUAGGCUGGAGAUUAAGUGUGUUGUGAAAUGUAGACGCUCAACGUCUGACUUGCAGCGCAUACUGGUUUCCUUGAGUACGCACAACGUUGGCGGAAUUCGUCGUGUAGCGGUGAAAUGCUUAGAUAUGACGAAGAACUCCGAUUGCGAAGGCAGCUGACGGGAGCGCAACUGACGCUGAAGCUCGAAGGUGCGGGUAUCGAACAGGAUUAGAUACCCUGGUAGUCCGCACAGUAAACGAUGGAUGCCCGCUGUUGGUACCUGGUAUCAGCGGCUAAGCGAAAGCAUUAAGCAUCUCACCUGGGGAGUACGCCGGCAACGGUGAAACUCAAAGGAAUUGACGGGGCCCCGCACA
rnacentral:rRNA from 1 species